rnacentral:rRNA from 1 species
UGGGGAAUAUUGCACAAUGGGCGGAAGCCUGAUGCAGCAACGCCGCGUGAGUGAUGAAGGCCUUCGGGUUGUAAAGCUCUGUCUUUUGGGACGAUAAUGACGGUACCAAAGGAGGAAGCCACGGCUAACUACGUGCCAGCAGCCGCGGUAAUACGUAGGUGGCAAGCGUUGUCCGGAUUUACUGGGCGUAAAGGAUGCGUAGGCGGAUUUUUAAGUGAGAUGUGAAAACCCUAAGCUUAACUUGGGGACUGCAUUUCAUACUGGAAAUCUAGAGUGCGGGAGAGGANAAUGGAAUUCCUAGUGUAGCGGUGAAAUGCGUAGAGAUUAGGAAGAACACCAGUGGCGAAGGCGAUUCUCUGGACCGUAACUGACGCUGAGGCAUGAAAGCGUGGGUAGCAAACAGGAUUAGAUACCCUGGUAGUCCACGCCGUAAACGAUGAGUACUAGGUGUAGGAGGUAUCGACCCCCUUCUGUGCCGCAGUUAACACAAUAAGUACUCCGCCUGGGAAGUACGAUCGCAAGAUUAAAACUUAAAUGAAUUGACGGGGGUCAUAGC